ensembl:lncRNA
GGUGUUUUCUACAAGCUCGCGGUUUGUUUUUUUUGACAGUAAGGGGGUGGAGCCAGUCACCAUGGUAUUUCUACAUCUAAUUGGUUACAAACCCCGUCUUUGGAUUGGCUGGAGUUAUGCAUUCACACAACUAUAGAAGCCCAUUUUCGCACUACAGAAAUUACGGUUGUAGCUGGUUGUCAUCUACGGUCCACAACGGAAUCAGGAAUCAGGAAACAUUUAUUGUCAAAAUACGUCAUACAUACAAGGAAUUUGACUUGGCGGUUGGUGCGUAACAGUAGACAGUAUAACAAUAGACAACAAGAC